UUUGAUGAUCUUCACAGUCUUCUCUUUGUUAUGUUUCUUUUUCAUUUUUUAUUUAUGUAGCUUUCAAUUUAUUUGGAUUGGUGUUUCUAAACCUUAAACUGAUAUGUAUUUGUUUUUCUUUUUUGUGUUGAGGCAUGAGUCUUGACAUUAGAUCUAUAUCCAGUAGCACACUCGAUUAAGUAGAAUUUGGGACCAUCACUUAACAAUGCCCUUUUAUUUCAUUUUUUAUUUUAUUUUAUUUCAUUUAAUUUUUAAUUUUAUUUAUUUAUUUAUUUUUUUCAUUACUUGCAAGUGCAUUUUAGAAAGGAGCUUCAUGAAAUAUAAAAUUCAGUUCACUUACAGGUGAGGACUUUGAUUGUGAAAGUUGUUCUCUGUCAUACAAAAACUGAUAUGUAUGGUUGAUCGCUCCUCUCUUGUUGUAAUCAUCCAUGUCCUUUUAUUUCAUUUUUUAUUUUAUUUUAUUUUUAAUUUUUAAUUUUAUUUAUUUAUUUUUUCAUUACUUGCAAGUGCAUUUUGGAAAGGAGCUUUAUGAAAUAUAAAAUUCAGUUCACUUACAGGUUAGGAUUUUGAUUGUGAUAGUUGUUAUCUGUCAUACAAAAACUGGUAUGCAUUCAAUAGAAUCACAGAAAAAGUUGGAAACAAAGCUUAAGAGACACAAAGCAUUGGAACAGAGCAUUGAAAAUCAUUCUGUUUCUUUUCAAUCAAAGCAAAAGAGACCCAUCAAUUUGGGUUUGUGUUUCUAAGAUUUGGAUUUGGAUUUGUAUUUGUUUUUCUAAAUCUCAAACUGAUGUGUUUGUGUUGGAUUUGUGUUUCUAAACCUUAAACUGAUAUGUAUUUGGGUUUCUUUUUC